rnacentral:rRNA from 1 species
UUCGAGUGGCGACGGGUGAGUAACGCGUGGGUAACCUGCCUUACACAGGGGGAUAACACCUGGAAACAGGUGCUAAUACCGCAUAAGCGCACAGGGCCGCAUGGCCCGGUGUGAAAAACUCCGGUGGUGUAAGAUGGACCCGCGUCUGAUUAGCUUGUUGGCGGGGUAGGGGCCCACCAAGGCGACGAUCAGUAGCCGGCCUGAGAGGAUGGACGGCCACAUUGGGACUGAGACACGGCCCAAACUCCUACGGAAGGCAGCAG